rnacentral:rRNA from 1 species
CCUACGGGAGGCAGCAGUGGGGGAUAUUGCACAAUGGGGGGAACCCUGAUGCAGCGACGCCGCGUGGGUGAAGGAGCGUUUCGGCGCGUAAAGCCCUAUCGGCAGGGAAGAAGAUGACGGUACCUGGCCAAGAAGCCCCGGCUAACUACGUGCCAGCAGCCGCGGUAAUACGUAGGGGGCAAGCGUUAUCCGGAUUUAUUGGGUUUAAAGGGUGCGUAGGCGGACGCUUAAGUCAGCGGGAAAAUUGCGGGGCUCAACCUCGUCGAGCCGUUGAAACUGGGUGCCUUGAGUGGGCGAGAAGUACGCGGAAUGCGUGGUGUAGCGGUGAAAUGCAUAGAUAUCACGCAGAACUCCGAUUGCGAAGGCAGCGUACCGGCGCCCAACUGACGCUGAAGCACGAAGGCGUGGGUAUCGAACAGGAUUAGAUACCCCAGUAGUC